rnacentral:rRNA from 1 species
CAGCAGCCGCGGGAAUACGUAGGGUGCAAGCGUUAAUCGGAAUUACUGGGCGUAAAGCGUGCGCAGGCGGUUAUGUAAGACAGUUGUGAAAUCCCCGGGCUUAACCUGGGAACUGCAUUUGUGACUGGCGAGCUAGAGUAUGGCAGAGGGGGGUAGAAUUCCACGUGUAGCAGUGAAAUGCGUAGAGAUGUGGAGGAAUACCGAUGGCGAAGGCAGCCCCCUGGGCCAAUACUGACGCUCAUGCACGAAAGCGUGGGGAGCAAACAGGAUUAGAUACCCCCGUAGUCCCUGUCUCUUAUAC